CAUAUCAAUAAGCGGAGGAAAAGAAACUAACAAGGAUUCCCCUAGUAACUGCGAGUGAAGCGGGAAAAGCUCAAAUUUAAAAUCUGGUGGUCUCUGGCCAUCCGAGUUGUAAUCUAGAGAAGUGUUACCCGCGUCGGACCGUGUAUAAGUCUCCUGGAAUGGAGCGUCAUAGAGGGUGAGAAUCCCGUCUUUGACACGGACUACCGAGGCUUUGUGGUAUGCUCUCAAAGAGUCGAGUUGUUUGGGAAUGCAGCUCAAAAUGGGUGGUAAAUUCCAUCUAAAGCUAAAUAUUGGCGAGAGACCGAUAGCGAACAAGUACCGUGAGGGAAAGAUGAAAAGAACUUUGGAAAGAGAGUUAAACAGUACGUGAAAUUGCUGAAAGGGAAACGCUUGAAGUCAGUCGCGUUGGCCGGGAAUCAGCCUUGCUUUUGCUUGGUGUACUUUCUGGGUUGACGGGCCAGCAUCAGUUUUGACCGGUGGAAAAAGUUCAGGGGAAUGUGGCAUCUUCGGGUGUGUUAUAGCCCUUGUUCGUAUACAUCGGUUGGGACUGAGGAACUCAGCACGCCGCAAGGCCGG
rnacentral:rRNA from 1 species